CCUACGGGAGGCAGCAGUAGGGAAUAUUGCUCAAUGGGGGAAACCCUGAAGCAGCAACGCCGCGUGGAGGAUGAAGGUUUUCGGAUUGUAAACUCCUUUUGUUAGAGAAGAUAAUGACGGUAUCUGACUAAUAAGCACCGGCUAACUCCGUGCCAGCAGCCGCGGUAAUACGGAGGGUGCAAGCGUUACUCGGAUUCACUGGGCGUAAAGGGCGCGUAGGCGGGAUAGCAAGUCAGAUGUGAAAGCCUAUGGCUUAACCAUAGAACUGCAUUUGAAACUGUUAUUCUAGAGUAUGGGAGAGGUAGGUGGAAUUCUUGGUGUAGGGGUAAAAUCCGUAGAGAUCAAGAGGAAUACUCAUUGCGAAGGCGACCUGCUAGAACAUAACUGACGCUGAUGCGCGAAAGCGUGGGGAGCAAACAGGAUUAGAUACCCCAGUAGUC
rnacentral:rRNA from 1 species